GAUGAACGCUGGCGGCGUGCUUAACACAUGCAAGUCGAACGGAAAGGCCCAAGCUUGCUUGGGUACUCGAGUGGCGAACGGGUGAGUAACACGUGGGUGAUCUGCCCUGCACUUCGGGAUAAGCCUGGGAAACUGGGUCUAAUACCGGAUAGGACCACUUCUUGGAUGUUGUGGUGGAAAGUUUUUUCGGUGUGGGAUGAGCUCGCGGCCUAUCAGCUUGUUGGUGGGGUAAUGGCCUACCAAGGCGUCGACGGGUAGCCGGCCUGAGGGGGUGUACGGCCACAUUGGGACUGAGAUACGGCCCAGACUCCUACGGGAGGCAGCAGUGGGGAAUAUUGCACAAUGGGCGCAAGCCUGAUGCAGCGACGCCGCGUGGGGGAUGACGGCCUUCGGGUUGUAAACUCCUUUCGCUAGGGACGAAGCGUUUUGUGACGGUACCUGGAGAAGAAGCACCGGCUAACUACGUG
rnacentral:rRNA from 1 species